GAGUCUUCCACCAGGAGUUAGGGCCCCCUUGCCUCUCGUUCCAGCAAGGGCAGGGGAGUUGGAUACACAUAAUCUGUUGCCAAUCUAGAAGAAAAGGGUUGCAUCUGGAACAUUCUCCAGGAUAAUGGCCUUCCACACCUUUCCCACAGGGAGCCUUGUAGCCAACUUACUGAUUUGCCACCAGGCCCUGCAAGAUGAUUGCCAUAAAGAAAAUCCUUUGGAAAAGAAGAGCAUACCUUCUAAGGAAGAAAUGGUCCAUGCAUUUGGGCUGGCAACUCACAAAAGAGAUGCCGCCUGACACUGGGACGGAUUUCAAGUCUGAGAAAACCGCUGGGGUUUCCCAACACGCCCAGCCCACCGCGCUCCAUUCACCGGCCGCCCCGUCUUGGCGGAGGUCAUCCUUUCGGUCGCGAAGAUGACUUUACAAGUCUCAGUUGUAUCAAUUAAAGCACCGCGAUGUGAGAGAGGCCCCGUUUUAUUUCUCAGGUGUCUUUACUGGCUGAAAUAUGGACUCCUCUGCCACUCGUGGCCUUCUUCGCGGCCCUUGCUGCCUCCCUCCUGUGUAUUUGUGCAUGUUUUUGUUACGGCGUGCUUUCGUCUAGAUUUGAGUAAUAUGUCCCUCUGACUGUCCACUCUCUUCCCCAGAGACAGCGAGCUCCUUAUGAGCGGGCAAGGAGCCUCAUCGGCGUGUGUGCACAUCUCCCAGGCCUGCUACAGCUCAGUAAAUAUGCUUAUUAAACUCAGCUAACCCUCCACCUCGCCCCUACCAUCACCUUUCAGACUGCAUUGGAAUUUGGGUAUCUUCUAUAAUCAUCCUAGUUUGUCUGUAAUUCCCAAGAAUUUAUGACUCUGUGUUAAAAAAAGAAAUGUAGAAAAGGAAACGCCAAUACAACAAGCACUCUUAGCUGUCAGAGAGCCCUGCUUUGCUUUCAUUGAGCAUUUGUAGAGUGUCACUAGAUUUUCCUACACUUGGAAUUUUUUUUUUAAUUAGAUUUUCUCUAGCUUGAUCUUCAGUUCUAAAUGUUUCUUAGAGUGCUUUUCAAUUUCCAAAGGACUUCAUCAAUUUCACAGAGUAUAGGUCCAAUGUACACAAUAAAAUCCUUUGCUCUUUUACA
rnacentral:lncRNA from 1 species